AGUGAACGCUGGCGGCAGGCUUAACACAUGCAAGUCGAACGGAAGCACAGUAAGUGCUUGCUCUUACGGGUGGCGAGUGGCGGACGGGUGAGGAAUACAACGGAAUCUACUUUUUCGUGGGGGAUAACGUAGGGAAACCUACGCUAAUAUCGCACACGACCUACGGGUGAAAGCAGGGGAUCUUCGGACCUUGCGCGAAUGAAUGAGCCGAUGUCGGAUUAGCUAGUUGGCGGGGUAACGGCCCACUAAGGCGAUGAUCCGUAGCUGGUCUGAGAGGAUGAUCAGCCACAUUAGAGCUGAUACACGGUCCAGACUCCUGAGGUAGGCAGCAGUGGGGAAUAUUAGACAAUGGGGGCGAACCUGAUCCAACCGUACCACGUGGGUGGAGGAGACGUUGGGUGUGUAAAGCCGUUUUGUUGGUUGAGAAAAGCUUCAGGUUAGUACCACGCUGUACUGACGGUACCCAAAGAAUAAGCACCGGCUAACUUCGUG
rnacentral:rRNA from 1 species